AGCUCACCCCGAGACGAACAAACUAAAAAAAGUUAAAUUUGAUCUAAAAAUUUAAGGAUGCCGUGUUCAAGCAAACUUGAGCGCAGUUUUGUCCUUUCGGUUUUAGAGUCUGUAUUCUGUUUCCUAAUUCGAAACUAGGUUUUUGUCUGUACGGUGCGGUAACCAGAGUGAAAUCCGGGUUAAUGUACAGGACUCAGAAUAUUUCCGUUGACAUUACAGAUUUAAUAGUGUAUAUAGUUGUUCCCACGAGAAUUAUUUAAAUAGAUUUAUGUUUUCUAGGUAUUGUAGGUUACUUACACGACACUUUCCGUCAUAGAAACGUCACUUGUACGGAUGCUGAGCUGCAUUCACGUGACUGAGCGUGAGUUGUUGUUUGAAUGGGAAACAAAUUGUUUAGGCGAAAACUGAUGUUGGUCACCUGUAGCCGCGGAAAUAUUUUGAUUCUUACGCGUUACUGUUUAUUUCGAUAAUGUUUGACAGUUUGCGAGAUCGGUUUCAUACAGUCCAGGAGGGGAUCACUGCCAGUUUCAGAGGUUUGUCAACAUCCGAUUCUGUUCACAAACAUAUUCCUGCUAGAGGUCGUAAAGUGAACUACAAUGCAGGAGGCGAACUUUUACUGAAGUACCAAAAUGAGUGGAGCGAGCUGCAUAAACAGUCUGAGGAAAAUGCUGUCCAAGCACAGGUAGUUGAUGAUCUUAUUACAAAGCUGCACACAGAAUGUCAAAAGAGCUGGACAUCAAUGAAUGGUGCUGCAAUGGUGCUUGCAAGUGUGCCGCAGAUAUUGGCUGAUGUUCAGGGCCUCAUGUCACAGCUUGGUACUCUCACAGAAACUUUUGAGGAAGUAGAAACAGGGCUGGCACGUCUUGAGGACAUAGUUGAGGUUCAAGAGCUGCAGGAGCAACAACUUGACCACAGAUUCCAGUUGGCUCUUUACAAGGAGCGACGGCUGGCUGAGCUUGAGGCUGUGCGUGACAAACUGGCAGCUGAGCAUGCACAACGACUUAGGGAUCAUGAGGCAAGACAGCAAGUUGCUCUUCGUGAAAGACAGGAAACAUUUGAACAGGCAUUCAAAGAGGACCUGCAGCAAUACAAAGAGUCAGGAACUUUGCCAGACUAUGAGAUAUGAGCAUCACCCUGAAGACAGUUGUUGUGGCUUCUUGUCACUUGAAUCUAACAUGAUGCAACAGCCCAUUAUCAUUGGUAUACAGUUUCCAUCGCUGAUGAAGGACGUGAUGUUGGUACAUUGUAUGGAACGAUAAGUCCUCCAGGCCAGAAAACUACAUGUUUAGAGGAAGUUAUUCUUGAGCCAGAAGAUCCAUCUGCUCUGGAUUCUUUCCUUGAUGACGAUACUAAAGAGGCUCCAGCAAUUCAGGAUUCUUCCUCGG
rnacentral:misc_RNA from 1 species